GAUGAAGAACGCAGCGAAAUGCGAUACGUAAUGUGAAUUGCAGAAUUCAGUGAAUCAUCGAGUCUUUGAACGCACAUUGCGCCCCCUGGUAUUCCGGGGGGCAUGCCUGUCCGAGCGUCAUUGCUGCCCAUCAAGCGCGGCUUGUGUGUUGGGCCGCCGUCCGCCUUCCCCCCCGGGGGGAGGGGGACGGGCCCGAAAGGCAGCGGCGGCACCGCGUCCGGUCCUCGAGCGUAUGGGGCUCUGUCACCCGCUCUGGAGGCCCGGCCGGCGCCCGCCGACCCCCAACCUUCUUCUAACCAGGUUGACCUCGGAUCAGGUAGGGAUACCCGCUGAACUUAAGCAUAUCAAUAAGCGGAGGA
rnacentral:misc_RNA from 1 species